GAACCAGGCUCUCCACACUCACCUGUGCACCCACACUUAAGCACCCCUCCUCGGACUACACCCAUCAGCACGCGGCCCCUGGAGGUUCGUGCCUCUGGUAAGGCAAGGGGGGGGGCCACGCGGCCUCGGGCUGACCGGGGAAGGGCUCUCGUCCCCGGCCACUUCCCCCAGGCAGCCCCCUCUCUUUCCCUGGUUGGGACUUAGAACUUUUUCAGACAUACACUGAGAACCAGGCCGACCAGGCCCUCCGGCCGAACAUGCGUACCCACACUUAAGCACCCCCUCCUCGGACUAAACCCUCCAGCACGCAGGCCCUGGAAGUUCGUGCCCCUGGUAAGGCGCAGCUCCACCAGCGUGGAGGGAGGGAGGCCCCGGAGGUCGGCCGACAAAAGGUUGGAUCGAGGGCUGACUCUCAAUGGAUCGCAGCGAGGGAGCUGCUCUGCCACGUACGAAACCCUGACCCAGAAUCAGGUCGUCUGCAGGUCAUUUAGCACCACGUUCUCCACGAACAUGCUGUGCGCGAUAGGAGAGGGGUGAC